rfam:Lactobacillus hominis DSM 23910 = CRBIP 24.179, type strain:CRBIP 24.179, WGS project CAKE01000000 data, contig: 2
GAAUUUUCGAUAUAACAUUUAUCGCAGAAAGUUUUAUGAGCGGCGGUUAUUUUUCCUCCCAGAGGUGAGGCCUAUGGUCAAUAUACUACAGAAAGGGUUCAACCAUGUCGGUUUACGAAAGCAUUUCUUUAAUGCUUUUAUUUGGUACGUUUGUGUUAGCUUUGCUAACCUACAU